rnacentral:sRNA from 1 species
UUUAAAUGAAGAAAAACACGAGGUCCCAUAUAGGGGCACAGGGCUCUAUAUAUAGUUUUCGCUCAUGCUGGACGAUUUUUCAUAUCAUCUUUGUUUAGAAGCUCGGCAAAA